rnacentral:rRNA from 1 species
CUUGGUCAUUUAGAGGAAGUAAAAGUCGUAACAAGGUUUCCGUAGGUGAACCUGCGGAAGGAUCAUUAGUGAAUCUUCAAAAGUCGGCUCGUCGGAUUGUGCCGGUGGAGACACAUGUGCACGUCUUGCGAGUCGCAAACCCACACACCUGUGCAUCUAUGACUCUGAGUGCCGCUUUGCAUGGCCUUGAUUGGCCUGGCGCUCGAGUACUUUUCACACACUCUCGAAUGUAAUGGAACGUCUUGUCGUGCGUAAUGUACAAAUCGAAACAACUUUUAACAACGGAUCUCUUGGCUCUCGCAUCGAUGAAGAACGCAGCGAAAUGCGAUAAGUAAUGUGAAUUGCAGAAUUCAGUGAAUCAUCGAAUCUUUGAACGCACCUUGCGCUCCCUGGUAUUCCGGGGAGCACGCCUGUUCGAGUGUUAUGAAACUAUCAAGAAAAAUUGGCUUUAUUGUUGAUUUUGAUUGGAUUUGAACUUUGACGUUGAUCUAGGUAGAGGGUUACUCCUCUGCUCUGUAAUACGACUAGUUUUAAAAGUAUAAGCAGGCUCUGGUUUUUUAAUUACCAUGGUUCUACUCAGCGUGAUAAUUACCUAUCGUUGAGGACACUUUUAUUAGUGGCCAUGGUCCCAAGAGUUGCUCUCUAAUCUCUGUGAUCAGUUGCAAAACUGAUUUCAUUCAUAUCUGACCUCGGAUCAGGUAGGGAUACCCGCUGAACUUAAGCAUAUCAAUAAGCGGAGGA